UACGUAGGGCGCAAGCGUUGUCCGGAAUUAUUGGGCGUAAAGAGCUCGUAGGCGGCUUGUCACGUCGGGUGUGAAAGCCCGGGGCUCAACCCCGGGUCGGCCGUGCGAACUGUCGAGCUGGAGCACUGUAGAGGCAGGUGGAAUUCCGGGUGUAGCGGUGGAAUGCGUAGAGAUCCGGAAGAACACCGGUGGCGAAGGCGGCCUGCUGGGCAGUGGCUGACGCUGAGGCGCGACAGCGUGGGGAGCAAACAGG
rnacentral:rRNA from 1 species